AAUUGAUGUAGAAUGGGGUCUAUUUGAAGGAAAGUCUCACUUUCCCCAUAUGAAAGAACAUUAAGCCUGAAAACCAUUUUGUGAUGGGCCGGUUACGUAUACCAGGAUAGACUACUGAGUGCAUGUAAAAAUAAGGUCUCUGUUUUUUUAAUUAACACCCUAGUAAAUUUUCACAUGAGAAAAAAUGUAAUGAAGAAACUAUGUAUUUCAUAUUAACAUUUCAUUUUUGAAGAUGACUUAAGUGAACUGACAAAGACAUUAGUUACUAUGCUUGAAGGAAGCCUCCCAGUUCUGAUUCAGCAGAGCAUUACCCGCCAAGAUGGUGGUGAAGCCUUUUCUUACCUUCUCAGACCAUGCCAAACUGUUGGAUAGGACUUUAAUCUGUGUGCUAAUUCUGACAGCAACGCCUGUGGCAGCAAAGGCUGGAGUCUAAUGGCACAAUCUCCACUCACUGCAACCUCCACCUCCUGGGUUCAAGCAAUUCUCCCUGUCUCAGCCUCCCGAGUAGCUGGGAUUACAGGCACACAUCACCAGGCCCAGCUAAUUUUGUAUUUUUAGUAGAGACGGGGUUUCACUAUGUUGGCCAGGCUGGUCUUGAACUCCCAACCUCAGGUGAUCCGCCCGUCUCUGCUUCCCAAAGUGCUCGGAUUACAGGCGUGAGCCACUGCGCCCGGCCCGGAUAUGUUUAACUUUGUAAGAAACUGCCAGAUUGCCUUCCAAAGAUGCGGUAUCAUUUUGUAUUUACAUUACCAAUAAAUGAGAGUUCUUGUUUUUCCAUAUCUGCAUUGGCAUUUGAGGUUGCCAAUUUUUGGUUUUUAGCCAUUCUAAUAGGUGUGUAGUGGUGUCCCAGUGUUGCUUUAAUUUGUAAACUUCUAGUGACAUAUGAUGUUGAGCAUGCUUUCAUAUGCUUAUGUGCCAUCUGUAUAUUUGUUUGGUGAGGUGUAUGUUCUUAUCUUUUCCUCACUAUUAUCUGAUUUGUUCAUUUUCUUUAUUGUUACAUUUUUAUAUUUAUUUGUAU
rnacentral:lncRNA from 10 species